GUGUGUGUGUGUGUGUGUGUAUGAAUAUUUUCUGGGUGGUCCAAAAGUCACUGAGGGGUUUUGAUUUUUAAUAACUCCCUUAUUUUUACAAAUAGGUGUAUGAAAUUUUAAUUCAAUAUAGAGGAGAUAAUGGAGAUUAAUUGUCAUUAGUCCUUUUUUAUUAUACCUCUUCAUUAUGCAUGAAAAAUGAUAUCUCUUA